UCGUGCCACAUUGAUUGAAGAGAUCUGUUGGGAUAGAUCCUCAUCGCUUAGCCGACCUCACGAAGUCAUUUGGAGGCCAACCUCAUGAGGAGGCCGACAUCAUCACAAAGAGGCCAACCUUAUGAAGUCCUUCGGAGGCCGACCUCACGAAGUCAUCUGGAUGCUGAGGCCGACUUUAUUAGGAGACUAAGACCGACCUC
rnacentral:lncRNA from 1 species